CUUCAUUGUUAAAUGGUCCUGGAAUGCAUGAUACAGAAUAUGUUUGAGCUCUUCCAGUGUUAUCCUUUGCAUGUCAAACUGCUGCAGAAUAUGCUGGCUAU